rnacentral:rRNA from 1 species
ACACGGAGGGCGCAAGCGUUGCUCGGAAUCACUGGGCGUAAAGCGGGUGUAGGCGGUCUAGCAAGUCAGAUGUGAAAGCCCACGGCUCACCGUGGAAGUGCAUCUGAAACUGCUAGACUUGAGUGCCGGAGAGGGAAGUGGAAUUCCUGGUGUAGGGGUGAAAUCCGUAGAUAUCAGGAGGAACACCGGUGGCGAAGGCGACUUCCUGGACGGCCACUGACGCUGAGACCCGAAAGCGUGGGGAGCAAACAGGAUUAGAUACCCUAGUAGUCC